GAUGAACGCUGGCCGCAUGCCUAAUACAUGCAAGUCGAACGAGAGGAAGGAAAGCUUGCUUUUCUGAAUCUAGUGGCGAACGGGUGAGUAACACGUAGGUAACCUGCCCAUGUGCCCGGGAUAACUUCUGGAAACGGAUGCUAAAACCGGAUAGGUAACAGACAAGCAUUUGACUGCUAUUAAAGUGGCUAAGGCCAUGAACAUGGAUGGACCUGCGGUGCAUUAGCUAGUUGGUGAGGUAACGGCCCACCAAGGCGACGAUGCAUAGCCGGCCUGAGAGGGCGGACGGCCACAUUGGGACUGAGACACGGCCCAAACUCCUACGGGAGGCAGCAGUAGGGAAUUUUCGUCAAUGGGGGGAACCCUGAACGAGCAAUGCCGCGUGAGUGAGGAAGGUCUUCGGAUCGUAAAGCUCUGUUGUAAGAGAAAAACGACAUUCAUAGGGAAUGAUGAGUGAGUGAUGGUAUCUUACCAGAAAGUCACGGCUAACUACGUGCCAGCCGCCGCAGUAA
rnacentral:rRNA from 1 species